ensembl:lncRNA
GGAUUUUCUACCCCACGUAGGGUAAAUGGGGCUUCAAAGCCCUCGCCACACCACAUCGUGUGUGGAGUGACCGGUGGGCUGGCGCCUAUGGCCAGCUUGCCCUAAGAUGUCUUGCCCUGCCCUUGUCCAGCUCUUUCCUUCAGGAUGUGCUCCACAGCAAAUGCCAUGCCAGACGCUGUGCUCACGGCAAACUAGAGGCACCUGUGCUCGCAGCUACAUGAAAAGAAAAAAAUGGGCACUGAAUUUCCCCGGAGAAGCUGGUGGCGCCCAGGAAACCCUUCCCUGCAGACGCCUCUUGAAACACAGCAGGUUCUUUACCAGCUGAGCUGCCUGGGAAGGCCACAGGAUACCGCAUCCCUCUCAAUUAGCUUUGUGUUGCAGAUGUGAGUCCUUGUGCCAAAGAGCCACAGGAUGGACAUUUGAGGUAAGAUAGAAAUCACAUCUUAAAUACACACACGAGGCCGUGGGGAGUCGUUUUCUAAGUUGGAAACUCACUCCAUGUUUCUUACAAACAGAACUGUAUAAAAUCUGUCCAAUCUCUCAAAGGUCAGUUAUAAAAACCUGUCUUAGAGCAGACUUUUUGGCCUUCAGAGACUGAAGUUCUUAGUUCCUGGGCCUGAGGAAAGUCCAUGAAAACCGGGGAAGCAUGAUAUGACCUAAGGAAAAUCGUGCUACCAGGUCGUAACCCACGAGAAGACAGCGUCUGAAAGCGGGGCGAGUGAGCCCAGACACCAUCCAGUCCCCCCUCCAGGCCUGCCCCAACACGUCGUCCCACUUACAAAGCAGGGAAGCAGGACCAAAGGCCUAGAACUCGGAGCACUGCCAUUCAGAUCCGCCCUCCAGAGUCCAGCUAACACAGACUUCCAGAGUCCAAGGGCCUGUUUUAUGAAUAAGUGCAGGCACUUUCAUGGGGUUGAGCCUUCGUGCAACUGAUGCCAAGCUGGGCAGCACCGUGUCUCUCAAAUCCUGGUGAACUGCAGGUAAAUAAUGUGCAUUGCAUUCACUUCUAACCCGAAAAGUGAAAGUGAAACUGGCUCACUCGUGACUCUUUGUGAGCUCAUGGACUCUACAGUCCAUGGAAUUCUCCAGGCCAGAGUACUGGAGUGGGGAGCCGUUCCCUUGUCCAGGGGAUCUUCCCAACCCAGGGAUCGAACCCAGGUCUCCCGAAUUGCAGGCGGAUUCUUUACCAGCUGAGCCACAAGGGAAACCAGAAGACUUAAUUAAAAUUGGUUAAAUAUAGUAGCAGAAACAGAAAGACUUCUGAAGCAUCUGGAUCAGACAGACACCGAGCCAGGACAGAGCCUGGGGAGGGAGGCUGCCCUGGC